GCCUCACCUGGGGCUCACCACACCCCCGGGGCAGGUUAUUUAAGGUUGGCCAAGGGCUAUGGGUGCUCCCUGAGUGCUGCUGUGGCUGUGCCCUGGUGGAUCUCGGUGCUCCAGGGGAAGGGUCAGGCCCUCCUGCCAAGCGGAGGAGAAGCCGGCUGCCUGGCCAGAUCUGCAUGGGCUGCCCCGAGCCCCAGCACAUCCCACCGGGAGCACCGCCUGCGCCUCUCCCCCAGCCCUCUGCCUCCGCCAGGAGGCUUCACAAGCGAGCGCUUUGCUGUGAAGUGCGACAUAACACGGCUAAAAAUAUUCCUGAAGAGUUUUAUUAGUAAAUGCCACAGUGGUUUUUUUUUUUUUUCUUUUCCUCCCCCUUCUGCUGCAAAGCGCUCCAGCUCGAGGAACGGCACUUGGCUAAAUUGCCUCUAAAUCACAAACCCCUCGCGAGGCCGGGCUCUGCAGUGCAAACCUUAGCCAAAAAGCCUCCUUAGGAGGAUGCUGUAAAUGCGCCUGCCUCCUUACCUUGUGGUUGGAAUAAAGGGCUGGUCCUGCUGCUUUGAAACAAGCAGGCUCCAUGUUUUUACCUAAA